UGAGCAAUCUGCCCUUCUCAUCGGAAUAAGCGUGGGAAACCGCGUCUAAUGCCGAAUACGACCUCCUUUCGCAUGAUCGGAGGUGGAAAGCUCCGGCGGAGAAGGAUGAGCUCGCGGCCUAUCAGCUAGUUGGUGUGGGUAAUGGCCCACCAAGGCGACGACGGGUAGCCGGCCUGAGGAGGGUGACCGGCCACACUGGGACUGAGACACGGCCCAGACUCCGUACGGGAGCAG
rnacentral:rRNA from 1 species